AUUGAACGCUGGCGGCAGGCUUAACACAUGCAAGUCGAGCGGAGAGAGGUAGCUUGCUACUGAUCUUAGCGGCGGACGGGUGAGUAAUGCUUAGGAAUCUGCCUAUUAGUGGGGGACAACAUUUCGAAAGGAAUGCUAAUACCGCAUACGUCCUACGGGAGAAAGCAGGGGAUCUUCGGACCUAGCGCUAAUAGAUGAGCUUAAGUCGGAUUAGCUAGUUGGUGGGGUAAAGGCCGACCAAGGCGACGACCUGUAGGUGGACUGAGAGGACGAUCCGCCACACUGGGACUGAGACACGGCCCAGACUCAUACGGGAGGCAGCAGUGGGGAAUAUUGGACAAUGGGCGGAAGCCUGAUCCAGCCAUGCCGCGUGUGUGAAGAAGGCCUUAUGGUUGUAAAGCACUUUAAGCGAGGAGGAGGCUACUUUAGUUAAUACCUAGAGAUAGUGGACGUUACUCGCAGAAUAAGCACCGGCUAACUCUGUGCCAGCAGCCGCCGUAAAAC
rnacentral:rRNA from 1 species